rnacentral:tRNA from 1 species
CUUAAAGUGACAGAUAAUGUGUUAGACUUAAAGCCUAAUUAUGAGCUUUCUCCCUUAAGA